rnacentral:rRNA from 1 species
UACGUAGGGGGCGAGCGUUGUCCGGAAUUAUUGGGCGUAAAGCGCGCGCAGGCGGUUUUUAAGUUCGUGGUGAAAGACCGGGGCUCAACCCCGGAGCGUCCGCGAAGACUGGAAGACUGGAGUGUCGGAGAGGAGUGCGGAAUCCGUGGAUGUAGCGGUGGAAUGCGUAGAGAUCAGGUGGAACACCGAUGGCGAAGGCAGCACUCUGGCCGAAUACUGACGCUGGAGGCGCGAAA